AGGAAUGUAGCUCAGUGGUAGAGUGCUUGCUUGCCAAGCAUGCACGAGAUGCAUGAGGGCCUGAGUUCAAUUCCCAUUCAUUUUCA
rnacentral:tRNA from 1 species